UUUACCACCCUCGUUUCCUGGGACAAUUUUCUAUUAUGUAGAAUUAGAGAGACAUGGGUUCACCAAUUGUUUUCCUUGCUAUUAUCGUUGGAAAGCAUGGAAAAUUCUCAUAAUGCUUGUUUGCUUUCCUCUUCAACUGGACGAUGUCAAUAACAAUAGAUUUGGCAAAUUAAAAUGUUUGUAUAUGUUUCCUUUCUGUUAUAUGUACUGCUUCUUUUCUUGUGAAUUAUUG
rnacentral:misc_RNA from 1 species